CGGUAAAAAAAGAAAAAAAAAAAAGGAAAACUUAUUUUUCCAAGUGCGGAGCAAAAUGUAAUGAUUAAGAUCACAAAAACUCCCCAUUACUUUCUGUGGCAAAUACGCAAAUCUUGAGCAUGCCACCUGUUUGAUCAAAAGCCUAACAGCUCUGACCUUCUUGUUCUUGUGUUCAUCCUCAGGGCUCCAAGUUUGGUGUGAUGGUUUCAAGGGAUUCGAGAGGUGAAGAGAGGCGUUUGUUUGUUGUUGUUGUUGUUGUUAGUACUCCUGGCGGCGUCGGCGGCGCGGAGCAGGUGCACCGCCGUAGUGUGCUCUUGCUAUGCACCUUCAGGAAGAAACUUUAACAACAAAGGAGGUGAAGGAAGCAAGACCAGCGCACCUAUUGCACAAAACAGAGGUAAACUACAACAACAUGGUAAUGGAAAUGGGUCUAAUGGGAUUCCUUUGCAGUUCCCAAAUCUCAAGAGCAAUUUGAAGAAGAAGACAAAGGAGGAGGAGAAUUGCUCCACUGAAACUAGGAAAGUGAAUUGGCCUGAUGCCCGUGGCAAAGAUAUUGCUCAUAUCCAAGAGUUUGAACCAAGUGUAUCAGGAGAUGGGGAACUUGAGGGAGUAAGAAACUCUUGUGUUUGCACAAUUCAGUAAAACAAGAAAUAGAGAAAAGGUAUGUUUUAGAUUCUUUCUUACAAUAAUGAGUGCAAGUUGCUACUAUAAUUGAAGUGUCUCAUCAUUUAUCAUUAUAACCAUUGUUCAAAAUCAAAUAGGGUUUAGUUCUUGGAAUAGCUAAUGCAAAGGCAAUUUGUAAUACAUUUUCCCUUUAUAUUUGCUUCAAAGAAAAUUAUGGCUAUCAUCCUAACCACAUAAGUAAAAUAUUUUGAUUGUAGUUGACAUUUUCACAUACAGUUGGGCAUAUCAAUGUAUUAAAGUCCACCUUCAGAAUUUUGUGUCAGCAACUUUAUCUCGUAAACAUUAUGAGAAAUUUAUGCCAUAAGCUUCAUUCAAGUCUAUUUUAUAAGACUAUGAAAGGUGUCAUACUCAUUUUAUCAGAUGAUUUGAACCUAAGAAUUCAAGAAAAGCCAUAUAUAUGUCAAUUACUUUUAAGCUAUACUUAUAUUAACAUGUUUAUUUUAGUUUUAUUCUAUAUUUUUAUAAGUAGCAGUUGUUGUCUUUGUACUUUAAUUUACUAAUUUUGAUGACUAUUAUCCUGUUCGAUAGCACAUAUUAGUCACGAGGAGAAUGAGUUAAAAGUAUGAAGACUAGAUUUUGAGGAAUUAUUUACAUGAACUUCUUAUCUUUGCAGAAAUUAUUAUCUUGGAAAUAAUGAGAGGAAUAUGUCGAAACUUCUCUAUUCAAUGUAUUUUUUUCUUCUUGUUGUAUGCUUUAUUUGUACACAUCUUCUGUUUGUUCGUCAAGUCUUUAUAGUUGAAAAAAAGACAUCUCUAUCCAUUUCAUUAUGCAUCAAGUCCUAGAAAUUUUAGUACAA